GACGAACGCUGGCGGCGUGCUUAACACAUGCAAGUCGAACGAUGAAGCUGGAGCCUGCUCCGGUGGAUUAGUGGCGAACGGGUGAGUAACACGUGAGCAAUCUGCCCUUGACUCUGGGAUAACUGCGGGAAACUGUAGCUAAUACCGGAUAUGAGGCUCGAAGGCAUCUUCGGGUCUGGAAAGAAUUUCGGUCAAGGAUGAGCUCGCGGCCUAUCAGCUCGUUGGUGAGGUAAUGGCUCACCAAGGCGACGACGGGUAGCCGGCCUGAGAGGGUGACCAGCCACACUGGGACUGAGGCACGGCCCAGACGCCUACGGGAGGCAGCAGUGGGGAAUAUUGCACAAUGGGCGAAAGCCUGAUGCAGCAACGCCGCGUGAGGGAUGAAGGCCUUCGGGUUGUAAACCUCUUUUAGCAGGGAAGAAGCGAAGGUGACGGUACCUGCAGAAAAAGCACCGGCUAACUACGUGCCAGCCGCCGCAGUAA
rnacentral:rRNA from 1 species